UACGUAGGGUGCGAGCGUUGUCCGGAAUUACUGGGCGUAAAGAGCUCGUAGGUGGUUUGUCGCGUUGUUCGUGAAAACUCACAGCUCAACUGUGGGCGUGCGGGCGAUACGGGCAGACUGGAGAACUGCAGGGGAGACUGGAAUUCCUGGUGUAGCGGUGGAAUGCGCAGAGAUCCGGAAGAACACCAGUGGCGAAGGCGGCCCGCUGGGCAGUGGCUGACGCUGAGGCGCGACAGCGUGGGGAGCAAACAGG
rnacentral:rRNA from 1 species